rnacentral:rRNA from 1 species
GACGAACGCUGGCGGCGUGCUUAACACAUGCAAGUCGAGCGGAAAGGCCCUUCGGGGUACUCGAGCGGCGAACGGGUGAGUAACACGUUAGUAACCUGCCCCAGACUUUGGGAUAACCCUCGGAAACGGGGGCUAAUACCGGAUACGACACAGCUUCGCAUGGGGUCUGUGUGGAAAGUUUUUCGGUUUGGGUUGGGCUCGCGGCCUAUCAGCUUGUUGGUGGGGUGAUGGCCUACCAAGGCGACGACGGGUAGCCGGCCUGAGAGGGCGACCGGCCACAAGGGGAAUGAGAGACGGCACAGACGGCAACGGGAGGAAGCAGGGGGGAAUAUUGCAGAAUGGGCGGAAGCGUGAUGCAGCGACGCCGCGUGAGGGAUGACGGCCUUCGGGUUGUAAAACUCUUUCAGCAGGGACGAAGCGUAAGUGACGGUAACUGCAGAAGAAGCGCCGGCCAACUACGUG